CUUUCCGAGCCCUUCCUUCCGUGACGCUGCGGGAUCCGGUGACGUGUCGAUCCUGAGUCCUGAUUGGAGGACUCCUCGGGCGCUCCUCCCCCGGUGAGGGCGCGGUCCCCCUCCCCCCGGGGAGGAGGGGGUGCCAGGGAAGGUAGUGACCAGCCACCGCCAGCAGCUCGUCCGCAGAUCGGGCCCGACAGCCGCGCUGGACAGGUCGCUGGUCGACCUUCGCGAGCUAGCCCCCUUCUGCCUUCCCUACUCUCUAUCUCCUUUUCUCUACUAUCCGGUCCGAGAGAGUAUCAGCGCCCCAGCUCGGCACCUUUCGCCGCUACCGACCCAUCUCCGGACAGCGCUAACUACCCGUCAUCGACCGCUGGGUGCCGGCAGCGCCGUGGCCUUUGUCGAGUCUCUGGUAAAGUUCCCGAGCGCAGCUCUGCAGGAUGGCGGGAGGUCUGAUGCCGGUCGUCAGUCGCCUGCUGGCCGCCGGCUGCCCGUCGGCCAUCAAAACGGUCCGCGCCGGCCUGAUGGUGGCCAACUCACCCUACUGCACCACGCUCACAGAUUUCGCUGACCCGUCGAAGCUGAAGUCGCUGUUCCCGCGGCCUGGCGCGGACUCGUUCGGGCAGUCGUUGAGCCCCCAGCUGCCGCCGGCUGCCAAACCCGCUCAGAAACGGCUCACGAAGGAGGAGCUGGCGCUGCAGGCGCAGGCGGAGGCGGCCCUGGAGCAGGCGUUCUCCAUCCUGCAGGCCGACGACUGGAGGCGCGUCGACACGCAGGACGGCGACGAGCUGUGUGUCAGAACCGCCGGCGGACGCAACGUCUGGAAGUACAAGACGGUGGUGAGCUGUUCGCCGGAAAAGUUCGCCCAGGAGGUGAUUCACAACUGCACCAACUGCCCCUCCUGGAACAAGACCAUCAAAAAAUGCCAAAUUCAUGAGGUGUCGGACGGAGUAGAGAUCCUGCGUCAGGAGACCAAGGAACUGCUCGGCGGCCUGGUCUCGCAGCGCGAGUUUGUCAACGUUCGCCGGCGCGGCCGCCGCGGCCAGAUGCACUACAGUGCCAUGGCGUCCAUCGACCACAGCGCCUUCCCCGAAAGCGACAGAUAUGUCAGGGCGCAGCUGUUUCCGACCGUGUUCACGGUGCGGCCGUGCGCCGACUCCCCGGACCGCUGUAUCGUCGAGGGCACCUUCAACUACGACCUGAAGCUGCGCCUGGUGCCGCUGAGGGUGAUCGAGGGCGCCACGUUCAGUGCCUGGCGUCAGCUGCGCACCCAGCUCCUCCGGUGCGCCGAGCACGUGCGCGCCUGAUCGGCCGGUCCAUCAGCGCGCCUGGUCUGCCGGUCUCCUGUCUGGAGUCCAUCAGCGCACCUGAUGAGCCGGUCUCCUGCAGCGCGCCUGGUCUGCCGGUCUCCUGUCUGGUGUCCAUCAGCGCGCCUGGUCGGCCGGUCUCCUGUCUGGUGUCCGUCAGUGCGCCUGAUGAGCCGGUCUCCUGUCUGGUGUCCGUCAGCGCGCCUGGUCUGCCAGUCAGUCCUCUCUGGGUCCGAACAGCGCACCUGAUGAGCCGGUCUCCUGUCUGGUGUCCGUCAGCGCGCCUGGUCUGCCGGUCUCCUGUCUGGUGUCCAUCAGCGCGCCUGGUCUGUCGGUCUCCUGUCUGGUGUCCGUCAGCGCGCCUGGUCUGCCGGUCUCCUGUCUGGUGUCCGUCAGCGCGCCUGAUGAGCCGGUCUCCUGCAGCGCGCCUGGUCUGUCGGUCUCCUCUCUGGGUCCGAUCAGCGCGCCUGGUCUGCCGGUCUGUCCUCUCUGGGUCCGAACAGCGCGCCUGGUCUGCCGGUCUCCUGUCUGGUGUCCGUCGGCGCGCCUGAUGAGCUGGUCUCCUGUCGGUCCUCUCCGUCCGUGGUGGUUUGGUGCGAUGCUGGAACUGUUGGCACGGUUCGAGUUGUAGCCCGAGCAGCCGCGGGCGGCGACGGCGAGUUUUGCUAUGGUCUCUUCUUGUUGCGGGCAGCGUUCAGAUGACCUGCUGUGAUCCCUGCGCACCGCGAGCGGUAACAUUUGGCGUGACAUGAUCGGAAAGUGCCGCGGGCGGUAUGAUCUUGAACGAAAGGAACAAUACAAUCGGGUGUAACCCUGAGGGAAAUCUGUGGGAUGAGGAUCGCUGGCGUUUUAGCGAUUGAUGACAGUUGACCUGGUGCGAUCUGAAGUGAACGGUAGACUCCGCUGGACAGAGACGUCUUCGGGCAGAGCCCAGUCAUGGUAAUAAAUUGUCUCUUUUGUACUGUGUGUAACAUUGUGUUGGAGUGUCCUGUGUUUAGUGUUUGUGCCUCAGCUUUACUGUGUGUGUUUUCUUCUCAAUACCAUGACGUCGGAAUCA
rnacentral:misc_RNA from 1 species